rnacentral:rRNA from 1 species
UACGUAGGGCGCAAGCGUUGUCCGGAAUUAUUGGGCGUAAAGAGCUCGUAGGCGGCUUGUUGCGUCGGUUGUGAAAGCCCGGGGCUUAACCCCGGGUCUGCAGUCGAUACGGGCAGGCUAGAGUGUGGUAGGGGAGAUCGGAAUUCCUGGUGUAGCGGUGAAAUGCGCAGAUAUCAGGAGGAACACCGGUGGCGAAGGCGGAUCUCUGGGCCAUUACUGACGCUGAGGAGCGAAAGCGUGGGGAGCAAACAGG